GUGUACAACAUAUGCCAUUCAACAAUUCUAUACAUGAUGCAAAGCUCACCAGGAGAGAGCAAUUGCCUGACAUCAGGAGGCCUGCGGGACCUGGAAAACUCUGCGAGUCUUGGUUGUAUUUUCCAGUGUGAACCAAAUCUCUCUGGAUGACCAAGAUGGAAACACUCUGCCACAGUCACUGAUGAAAACAAUGAAGCCAUGCAACUAUUUAUUCACUCAUUCAUGGAUCCUGGAAAGGCUGACCUGGUACAACCUGAUGCCCCUCUACCUGCACUGGGAACACAUUCAGCAGCUUCAUGAAUUCCCAUUUCCUUUAUAUCGUGUGAAAAUGCUUUCAAAGAUGUUCAUAUGUGUUUGUUCAUUGGUCACCAUCAUUUGAUUGCCAGGAAGCUCCUUCUAGUCACGUUCUCCAGGAAUAAACCUGAAGCCCCAGAUGAUCAUGGAAACUUCCCAGGUUCAUGGAGACCACUUGUGUCUGUCUAUCCCAAGCUCUCUGCAAUUUCUUCUUCAUCCUGAGAACUUCCUCUCCAGCUGGAGCACUGGAAACCCCACUUCCUCUUGGUACUCACAGCCUCCUCAGAAAGUGAGAACAAUGUGGAGAGAGAUACUGGGAAGGACGUCAGGUGUAUAAAGUCAGUGGCUCCUUCCUUCUGCAGAACCAGGGGAAACACUAUUUGUGAACAAACCGCAUAGAGCUUCAGGUGACCUAUGAAGGACUUAAAUUCUAGAUUAUGGUAGCUAUUGGUUAUUACAGUUUGGCUGUAGUGAUUUAGUCAUUCAUUUA